GCAGGGCCCUCCCCCCAAGGCUGAGGUGGGUUAGCCCAUGGCAGGGGUAUGGUGCAUGCAGUGAGCUGUGCCAGGUCUCAGCAGGGCCCUCCCCCCAAGGCUGAGGUGGGUUAGCCCAUGGCAGGGGAAUGGUGCAUGCAGUGAGCUGUGGCAGGUCUCAGCAGGGCCCUCCCCCCAAGGCUGAGGUGGGUUAGCCCAUGGCAGGGGGAUGGUGCAUGCAGUGAGCUGUGCCAGGUCUCAGCAGGGGAUGGACGCGAUGAGGUGGGGUGGUCUGUCGCUUUUGCAGCAUUCCCGAGACCUUCAGCGGGGAAAAUCCCUCCUCUGGUUACACUGGCGGAGGGUACGCGGGGGGAAGGGCAGCCAGCUCGCCGUUGCCAUUGGCUGCUGUCGCUGUCCAUCCGACCAUUGAGACCAAUGAUAGCACAAGGCAAGUGGAAGAGCACGAGAGCAGGGGGAGUGAGCCCCAACCUUGGCCACCCCAGCCACUACAAUGACAUACCACUCCGCCUCUUGGAGUCCUUCCGGGCAAUCGG